GUAGGUGGCAAGCGUUGUCCGGAAUUAUUGGGCGUAAAGCGCGCGCAGGGCGGUCCUUUAAGUCUGAUGUGAAAGCCCACGGCUCAACCGUGGAGGGUCAUUGGAAACUGGGGGACUUGAGUACAGAAGAGGAAAGCGGAAUUCCAAGUGUAGCGGUGAAAUGCGUAGAGAUUUGGAGGAACACCAGUGGCGAAGGCGGCUUUCUGGUCUGUAACUGACGCUGAGGCGCGAAAGCGUGGGGAGCAAACAGGAUUAGAUACCCUGGUAGUCCACGCCGUAAACGAUGAGUGCUAAGUGUUAGGGGGUUUCCGCCCCUUAGUGCUGCAGCUAACGCAUUAAGCACUCCGCCGGGGGAGUACGGCCGCAAAGGCUG
rnacentral:rRNA from 1 species